GAUGAACGCUGGCGGCGUGCCUAAUACAUGCAAGUCGAGCGAACAGACGAGGAGCUUGCUCCUCUGACGUUAGCGGCGGACGGGUGAGUAACACGUGGAUAACCUACCUAUAAGACUGGGAUAACUUCGGGAAACCGGAGCUAAUACCGGAUAAUAUAUUGAACCGCAUGGUUCAAUAGUGAAAGACGGUUUUGCUGUCACUUAUAGAUGGAUCCGCGCCGCAUUAGCUAGUUGGUAAGGUAACGGCUUACCAAGGCAACGAUGCGUAGCCGACCUGAGAGGGUGAUCGGCCACACUGGAACUGAGACACGGUCCAGACUCCUACGGGAGGCAGCAGUAGGGAAUCUUCCGCAAUGGGCGAAAGCCUGACGGAGCAACGCCGCGUGAGUGAUGAAGGUCUUCGGAUCGUAAAACUCUGUUAUUAGGGAAGAACAAAUGUGUAAGUAACUAUGCACGUCUUGACGGUACCUAAUCAGCAAGCCACGGCUAACUACGUG
rnacentral:rRNA from 1 species